rnacentral:lncRNA from 10 species
GGCAACCCACUCGGGUCCCCUUCCACACUGUGGAAGCUUUGUUCUUUCUCUCUUUGCAAUAAAUCUUGCUGCUGCUCACUCUUUGGGUCCACUUUGCCUUUAUGAGCUGUAACACUCACUGCAAAGGUCUGCAGCUUCACUCCUGAAGCCAGCGAGACCACGAACCCACCGGGAGGAACGAACAACUCCAGACGCGCCGGCUUAAGAGCUGUAACACUCACCGCGAAGGUCCGCAGCUUCACUCCUGAGCCAGCGAGACCACGAACCCACCAGAAGGAAGAAACUCCGAACACAUCUGAACAUCAGAAGGAACAAACUCCGGACACGCCACCUUUAAGAACUGUAACACUCACCGUGAGGGUCCGCGGCUUCAUUCUUGAAGUCAGUGAGACCAAGAACCCAGCAAUUCUGGACACAGUAGUUUACCAGAAAAGAGGGGAAAUGGCUUCCAAGGCAGAAGAAACAGUGCAGGCACAGACAUGGAGGCAUGGAAGAGUGCAGAGUGUGUGUGAACUGUUGGGUGUGGCCAGAGCAUAGUGGACCUGAAGCAAGGUGGAGAGGAGUAGUUGUGGGCAAGAUAGAGUUUAUGGGGGGCUAGUUUCUGAUGGAACUUCUAACUUUCCUCAAAGAUGGGGCCACCGAUUAGAGACUCAACAUGGCAGGAGUCACUCUAUUCCUUUCAAGAGAUGGUUCUAAUUACUACUCCUGCCAAUGCAGUAAAUAACACUUGAGGGCAGUAGGAGCCAUUUUAGAAUAUUUGUGGCUCCUAUGAAGCUGUUUGUGUGUCGGGGCAGGUGGCAAGCCCAUUUCUUUUCUUUUCUAAAGUCACAUACCUUGCCCCUUAGCUAUCCUCCCUUCCAUAAAGGUUUGUUGUGAAGCUGGAAUGUGAUAUCAGAUGUCACAGGGCAGUGUGGUUUACGAAGCCUGUAGAAAUGUUCUUACCAACUGUAAGUACACCUUGGCACCUGGAGGACAAGAAUAUUCACUCCUGCAUCACUCUGUUCCAACUGUGUUCACACUCCUUAGAUUCGCAGAAGGACUGUUUUCAGCUGCUGGCCCUUCCAGGAAUAGCCCUAAAGAGCCAGAAGGGCAAAGGAGUAACAUUGACCACAUCAUGGUGAUACAAGGUAAUAACUUUCAGAGGUUUUGCUGUGGAAAUGUUCCUCCUUUCAAUACGGCAUCUGAAAGAUAAUUGGAAGUCCCCCAAAAGUGAGGUCACCCCCAACUUCUCUUCCUACUGCUGGAGAAUCAGCGAUUGUCAGAGCUGAAAGGGAUCAUAGAGAUUUUACUGUAAUGCACUCAUUUUAUAGACAAAAAACUGAGACUCAGGGAUGUGAGGUGAAUUUCCUUGGUCCUGCAGCAUUUUAAUGACAGAAAUGAGACCAGAAACCAGGUCUUCUGACUCUUAGUCCUGUGGUGGUUCUACUCCUUCCUGCCACUUCUCCUGUUUGAGUUUUUUGGCAAUGUGAGGACAUUUAGCCAAUCUGGAUACUGACAUUUGAAUGAAGCUAACCACUAGAAGAAUGUCAAGGAGGGAACGAUUUACAUAGGUAAAUUUACCCAAUCCAUUGUCCAAUCUUCAGUCAUGCAAAUGUAGGAACUGGACUUUGCCCAAGUCAGAGACCUUUGGAUCUAGGAACACACUGAUCAAGCCCUUAAGUGACUGAUGUAGAUAAACGAGAAUAAAUAAGUAAUAAGUUCA